rnacentral:rRNA from 1 species
UACGUAGGUGGCAAGCGUUGUCCGGAAUUAUUGGGCGUAAAGCGCGCGCAGGCGGUCCUUUAAGUCUGGUGUGAAAGCCCACGGCUCAACCGUGGAGGGUCAUUGGAAACUGGGGGACUUGAGUACAGAAGAGAAGAGUGGAAUUCCACGUGUAGCGGUGAAAUGCGUAGAGAUGUGGAGGAACACCAGUGGCGAAGGCGACUCUUUGGUCUGUAACUGACGCUGAGGCGCGAAAUCGUGGGGAGCAAACAGG